rnacentral:rRNA from 1 species
GACGAACGCUGGCGGCGUGCUUAACACAUGCAAGUCGAACGGAAAGGCCUGCUUUCCCUUGUGGAUUGCGGGUACUCGAGUGGCGAACGGGUGAGUAACACGUGAGUGAUCUGCCCCCAACUUGGGUAUAAGCCUGGGAAACUGGGUCUAAUUCCCGAUAGGACUGCAGGGUGGUGCCUGUGGUGGAAAACGAUUUUCUAGUGGUUGGGGAUGAGCUCGCGGCCUAUCAGCUUGUUGGUGGGGUAAUGGCCUACCAAGGCGGCGACGGGUAGCCGGCCUGAGAAGGUGGACGGCCACAUUGGGACUGAGAUACGGCCCAGACUCCUACGGGAGGCAGCAGUGGGGAAUAUUGCACAAUGGGCGGAAGCCUGAUGCAGCGACGCCGCGUGGGGGAUGACGGCCUUCGGGUUGUAAACUCCUUUCGACCGCGAGGAAGCCACCUGGUUGGAAGGGUGGUGACGGUAGUGGUAGAAGAAGCACCGGCUAACUACGU